UACGAAGGGGGCUAGCGUUGUUCGGAAUCACUGGGCGUAAAGCGCACGCAGGCGGAUUGAUAAGUCAGGGGUGAGAUCCCAGAGCUCAACUCUGGAACUGCCUUUGAUACUGGGGAUCUCGAGUAUGGAAGAGGUGAGUGGAAUUCCGAGUGUAGAGGUGAAAUUCGUAGAUAUCCGGAGGAACGCCAGGGGCGAAGGCGGUCAACUGGUCGAUUUCUGACACUGAGGCGCGACGGCGUGGGGAGCAAACCGG
rnacentral:rRNA from 1 species